rnacentral:tRNA from 1 species
GGCAGGGUAGCUCAGUGGUAGAGCAGGGGACUCAUAAGCCCUUGGUCGUGGGUCCGACUCCCACCCCUGCCACCA